rnacentral:rRNA from 1 species
UACGAAGGGGGCGAGCGUUGUUCGGAUUUACUGGGCGUAAAGGGCGCGCAGGCGGCUCAUUUUGUCAGGCGUGAAAGCCCCGGGCUUAACCUGGGAACUGCGUUUGAUACGGAUGGGCUAGAGUUCGGGAGAGGAGAGUGGAAUUCCCAGUGUAGAGGUGAAAUUCGUAGAUAUUGGGAAGAACACCGGUGGCGAAGGCGGCUCUCUGGACCGAGACUGACGCUGAGGCGCGAAAGCGUGGGAGCAACAGGG